CAAGGGUCCUGCACAGGUGGUGCAUGGUUGUCGUCAGCUCGUGUCGUGAGAUGUUGGGUUAAGUCCCGCAACGAGCACAACCCUCGUUCUAUGUUGCCAGCGCGUGAUGGCGGGGACUCAUAGGAGACUGCCGGGGUCAACUCGGAGGAAGGUGGGGACGACGUCAAAUCAUCAUCGCCCCUUAUGUCUUGGGCUGCACACAUGCUACAAUGGCCGAU
rnacentral:rRNA from 1 species